GUGAGGCGCUGGCACAGCUGCCCAGAGAAGCUGUGGUGCCCCAUCCCUGGAGGCGCUCAAGGCCAGGAACAAGGUGGUCCUUACAAAACCUGAAAGUUCCCCAGGAUAUGGAGGAAGCAGAAGAAAAAGAAAGACAUGGAAAAAAAGAACUGAUUAUGAGGGACAAAAAUGAAACAAAGGGAAGACAUGCUGAUGGGUGCUCUGCCCCACAGUGUGGGAGGAUGAACUACAUGUUCCAAUAAAUGUACUAUCUAAAUUGUCAGAGUUCUGUGCCCCUUUUCUUAGCUUUGGUUUUCUUUCUUUUCCGGUGUACAAUACGUGCAGCACUGAAUUUUGCAGUAAUGUAUGUCACAUGAAAUUGUUUACCUGAAUACACAGUGCAAAAAAUUGCAGGACUCGACCAGCAGAUAGGUUUGUAGAAC
rnacentral:lncRNA from 1 species